rnacentral:rRNA from 1 species
GAUGAACGCUGGCGGCGUGCCUAAUACAUGCAAGUCGAGCGAACAGAUGAGGAGCUUGCUCCUCUGUCGUUAGCGGCGGACGGGUGUGUAACAUGUGUAUAAUCCACCUAUCAGACUGGGAACACCUCGGGAAACCGGAGCAAACACCGUAUGAUAUAUUGAUCCGCAUGGUUCAAUAGUGAAAGACGGUUUUUGUGGCACUUAUAGAUGGUUCCGGGCCGCAUUAGCUGGUUGGUAAGGUAACGGCUUAUGAAGGGAACGAUGCGUAGCCGACCUGAGAGGGGGGUCGGCCACACUGGAACUGGGACGGGGUCCAGGGUCCUGCGAGAGGCAGCAGUAGGGAAUCGUACGCAGUGGGCGAAAACAUGGCGGAGCGGCGCCGAGUGAGUUGUGGAGAUCUUCGGAUCGUAAAACUCUGUUAUUGGGGGAAAACAGAUGUGUAAGUAACUGUGCACGUCUUGACGGUACCUGGUCAGAAAGCCACGGCUAACUACGUG